UACAGAGGUCUCGAGCGUUAGGCGGAAUCACUGGGCUUAAAGCGUGUGUAGGUGGAUGCCUAAGUACCUUGUGAAAUCCCACGGCUUAACCGUGGAACUGCUUGGUAUACUGGGUGUCUUGAGUCACUCAGGGGCGAGCGGAACGAAUGGUGGAGCGGUGAAAUGCGUAGAUAUCAUUUGGAACGCCAAUGGUGAAAACAGCUCGCUGGGGGUGCACUGACACUGAGACACGAAAGCCAGGGGAGCGAACGGG
rnacentral:rRNA from 1 species